GUCCUUUAGAUUUGAAUUAAAGGUCUAACCUGCCCACUGAAAAAUUUUGAAUGGCCGCAGUAAAUUGACUGUGCAAAGGUAGCAUAAUCAAUAGUUUUUUAAUUAAAAGCUUGUAUGAAUGGUUGGACGAGAUAAAAUCUGUCUUUAUUUAAAAAGUAGAAUUUAAUUUUUAAGUUAAAAAGCUUAAAUUAAAUUAAAAGACGAGAAGACCCUAUAGAUCUUUAUAAUAAAUUAUUUAUUUUUAUUGAAGAUUAUUUAGUUAUUUUAAUUAUUUUAUUAUUUUAUUGGGGUAAUAUUAAGAUUAAAUUAAUUCUUUUUUUUAUAAACAUUUAUUUUUGAUUAAUUGAUCCAUUAUUAGUGAUUAUAAGAUUAAGUUACCUUAGGGAUAACAGCGUAAUUUUUUUAGAGAGUUCUUAUCGAUAAAAAAGUUUGCGACCUCGAUGUUGGAUUAAAAAUUAUUUUAGGUGUAGUAGUUUAAAAUUUUGGUCUGUUCGACCAUUGAAUUUUUACAUGAUCUGAGUUCAGACCGGUGUAAGCCAGGUCGGUUUCUAUCUUUAGUUAAUUAAAAUAUUUUAGUACGAAAGGACCAAGUAUUUAAUAUAUUAAUAUUUUUAAUUUGAAUAU
rnacentral:rRNA from 2 species